UACAGAGGUCCCAAGCGUUGUUCGGAUUCACUGGGCGUAAAGGGUGCGUAGGUGGUCGGGUAAGUCUGAUGUGAAAUCUCCGAGCUCAACUCGGAAACUGCAUCGGAUACUAUUCGGCUCGAGGAUCGGAGGGGAGACUGGAAUUCUCGGUGUAGCAGUGAAAUGCGUAGAUAUCGAGAGGAACACCAGUGGCGAAGGCGAGUCUCUGGACGAUUCCUGACGCUGAGGCACGAAAGCUAGGGGAGCAAACAGG
rnacentral:rRNA from 1 species